rnacentral:rRNA from 1 species
UAGGGUACCGGAAGAGCGUGAUCCUGGGUCGAGUUUCAUCCUGGCUUGGUCGUCAAACCUAGGUAUCCGAAAAGUUUUUUCCUGUGGGAAACUGCCUGAUGGAGGGGGAUAACUACUGGAAACGGUAGCUUAUACCCCAUAACGUCUUCGGACCAAAGGGGGGGACCUUCGGGCCUCUUGCCAUCUGAUGUGCCCAGAUGGGAUUACCUAGUAUGUGAGGUAAUGGCUCACCUAGGCUACCAUCCCUAACUGGGCUGAGAGGAUGACCAGCCACACUGGAACUGAGACACGGUCCAAACUCCUACGGGAGGCAGCGGUGGGGAAUAUUGCGCAAUGGGCGCAAGCCUGAUGCAGCCUUGCCGCGUGUAUGAAGAAGGCCUUCGGGUUGUUAAGUACUUUCAGCGAGGAGGAAGGGGUUGUGGUUAAUAACCGCUGUGAUUGACGUUACUCUCACAAAAAGCACCGGCUAACUCCCUGCCAACAGCCGCGGUAAUACCGAGGGUGCACGCGUUUAUCGGAAUUUCUGGGCGUAAAGCGCACGCAGGCGGUCUGUCAAGUCUUAUGUGAAAUCCCCGGGCUCACCCUGGGAACUGCCUUCGAAACUGGUUGGAUACAGUCUUGUAUAGGGGGGUAGAAUUCCAGGUGUAUCGCUGGAAUGCGUAUAAAUCUGGAGGAAUACCGGUGGAGAAGGCGGCCCCCUGGACAAAUACUGACCCUCANGUGCGAAAGCGUGGGGAGCANACANGAUUANAUACCCUGGUAUUCCCCNCCNUAAACGAUGUCNACUUGAAGGUUGUUCCCUUGAGGAGUGUCUUCCCNAUCUAACGCGUNAAGUCNANCNCCUGGGGANCNNNNGNNNCGAGGAUUAGAACUCANAUGAAUUGACNGGGGCCCNNCACAAGCGNUGGANCAUGUGGUUUUAAUUCGNUGC